AGUGAACGCUGGCGGUAGGCCUAACACAUGCAAGUCGAACGGCAGCACAGGAGAGCUUGCUCUCUGGGUGGCGAGUGGCGGACGGGUGAGGAAUACAUCGGAAUCUACUUUUUCGUGGGGGAUAACGUAGGGAAACUUACGCUAAUACCGCAUACGACCUACGGGUGAAAGCAGGGGAUCUUCGGACCUUGCGCGAUUGAAUGAGCCGAUGUCGGAUUAGCUAGUUGGCGGGGUAAAGGCCCACCAAGGCGACGAUCCGUAGCUGGUCUGAGGGGAUGAACGGCCAAACUGGAACGGAGACGCGGUCCAGACUCCUACGGGAGGCAGCAGUGGGGAAUAUUGGACAAUGGGCGCAAGCCUGAUCCAGCCAUACCGCGUGGGUGAAGAAGGCCUUCGGGUUGUAAAGCCCUUUUGUUGGGAAAGAAAUCCAGCUGGUUAAUACCCGGUUGGGAUGACGGUACCCAAAGAAUAAGCACCGGCUAACUUCGUGCCAGCCGCCGCGGUAA
rnacentral:rRNA from 1 species